rnacentral:rRNA from 1 species
GACGAACGCUGGCGGCGUGCUUAACACAUGCAAGUCGAACGGAAAGGCCCUGCUUUUGUGGGGUGCUCGAGUGGCGAACGGGUGAGUAACACGUGAGUAACCUGCCCUUGACUUUGGGAUAACUUCAGGAAACUGGGGCUAAUACCGGAUAGGAGCUCCUGCUGCAUGGUGGGGGUUGGAGAGUUUCGGCGGUUGGGGAUGGACUCGCGGCUUAUCAGCUUGUUGGUGGGGUAGUGGCUUACCAAGGCUUUGACGGGUAGCCGGCCUGAGAGGGUGACCGGCCACAUUGGGACUGAGAUACGGCCCAGACUCCUACGGGAGGCAGCAGUGGGGAAUAUUGCACAAUGGGCGGAAGCCUGAUGCAGCAACGCCGCGUGCGGGAUGACGGCCUUCGGGUUGUAAACCGCUUUCGCCUGUGACGAAGCGUGAGUGACGGUAAUGGGUAAAGAAGCACCGGCUAACUACGUGCCAGCAGCCGCGGUGAUACGUAGGGUGCGAGCGUUGUCCGGAUUUAUUGGGCGUAAAGGGCUCGUAGGUGGUUGAUCGCGUCGGAAGUGUAAUCUUGGGGCUUAACCCUGAGCGUGCUUUCGAUACGGGUUGACUUGAGGAAGGUAGGGGAGAAUGGAAUUCCUGGUGGAGCGGUGGAAUGCGCAGAUAUCAGGAGGAACACCAGUGGCGAAGGCGGUUCUCUGGGCCUUUCCUGACGCUGAGGAGCGAAAGCGUGGGGAGCGAACAGGCUUAGAUACCCUGGUAGUCCACGCUGUAAACGGUGGGUACUAGGUGUGGGGUCCAUUCCACGGGUUCCGUGCCGUAGCUAACGCUUUAAGUACCCCGCCUGGGGAGUACGGCCGCAAGGCUAAAACUCAAAGGAAUUGACGGGGCCCCGCACAAGCGGCGGAGCAUGCGGAUUAAUUCGAUGCAACGCGUAGAACCUUACCUGGGUUUGACAUGGAUCGGGAGUGCUCAGAGAUGGGUGUGCCUCUUUUGGGGUCGGUUCACAGGUGGUGCAUGGCUGUCGUCAGCUCGUGUCGUGAGAUGUUGGGUUAAGUCCCGCAACGAGCGCAACCCUUGUUCACUGUUGCCAGCACGUUAUGGUGGGGACUCAGUGGAGACCGCCGGGGUCAACUCGGAGGAAGGUGGGGAUGACGUCAAGUCAUCAUGCCCCUUAUGUCCAGGGCUUCACGCAUGCUACAACGGCUGGUACAGAGAGUGGCGAGCCUGUGAGGGUGAGCGAAUCUCGGAAAGCCGGUCUCAGUUCGGAUUGGGGUCUGCAACUCGACCUCAUGAAGUCGGAGUCGCUAGUAAUCGCAGAUCAGCAACGCUGCGGUGAAUACGUUCCCGGG